rfam:Schistosoma mattheei strain Denwood, Zambia genome assembly, scaffold: SMTD_scaffold0000567
ACCCAACUGAUGAGUCUAAAAUAGGAUGAAACGCGCGUCCUGCAU